rnacentral:rRNA from 1 species
AGAAAACAUGUUGUGUUUGCACCUGGAGAUCUUGUUUGGUUACAUUUGCCUGCUGUCACUAACAUUUUGCAGGAGUUCGCUGACGUCUUUCCACAAGACGUGCCACCGGGAUUACCGCCUAUUCGAGGGAUUGAGCAUCAGAUUGACUUAAUUCCCGGUGCUUCACUGCCAAACCGUGCACCAUACCGUACCAAUCCAGAGGAGACGAAGGAGAUUAUGCGCCAAGUACAAGAGCUUCUCGACAAAGGUUAUAUACGCGAAUCCCUUAGUCCUUGUGCUGUUCCUAUUAUUCUAGUGCCGAAAAAGGAUGGUACAUCACGUAUGUGUGUUGAUUGUAGAGGCAUUAAUAAUAUUAAUAUUCGUUAUCGUCAUCCUAUUCCUAGGCUAGAUGAUAUGCUUGAUGAAUUGAGUGGCUCUACAAUAUUCUCCAAAGUUGAUUUGCGUAGUGGCUACCAUCAAAUUCGUAUGAAAUUGGGAGAUGAAUGGAAAACAGCAUUUAAAACUAAGUUUGGAUUAUAUGAGUGGUUAGUCAUGCCUUUUGGGUUAACUAAUGCACCUAGUACUUUCAUGAGAUUAAUGAACGAAGUUUUACGUGCUUUCAUUGGACGAUUUGUGGUAGUUUACUUUGAUGACAUACUGAUUUAUAGCAGAUCUUUGGAAGAACAUUUGGAACAUUUACGUGCUGUUUUUAUUGCUCUACGUGAUGCACGUUUGUUUGGUAACCUUGGGAAGUGCACCUUUUGCACCGACCGAGUAUCUUUUCUUGGCUAUGUUGUUACUCCACAGGGAAUUGAGGUUGACAAAGCCAAGAUUGAAGCUAUUGAGAGUUGGCCGCAGCCCAAAACGGUCACACAAGUGAGGAGUUUUCUUGGCCUCGCUGGAUUCUAUAGGCGUUUUGUGAGAGAUUUCAGCACCAUUGCUGCACCUCUCAACGAGCUUACAAAGAAGGAUGUGCCUUUUGUUUGGGGUACCGCACAGGAAGAAGCCUUCACGGUAUUGAAAGAUAAGUUGACACAUGCUCCUUUACUCCAACUUCCUGAUUUUAAUAAGACUUUUGAGCUUGAAUGUGAUGCUAGUGGAAUUGGAUUAGGAGGUGUGUUAUUACAAGAUGGCAAACCUGUUGCAUACUUUUCUGAAAAAUUGAGUGGGCCUAGUCUGAAUUAUUCUACUUAUGAUAAAGAAUUAUAUGCUCUUGUUCGGACUUUAGAAACAUGGCAACAUUACUUAUGGCCCAAAGAAUUUGUUAUACAUUCUGAUCAUGAAUCUUUGAAACAUAUUAAAAGUCAAGCUAAACUGAAUCGUAGACAUGCUAAAUGGGUUGAAUUCAUUGAGACUUUCCCUUAUGUCAUUAAACACAAGAAGGGAAAAGAAAAUGUUAUUGCUGAUGCUUUGUCUCGUCGCUAUACUAUGCUUUCACAACUUGACUUCAAAAUAUUUGGUUUGGAGACCAUCAAAGAUCAAUAUGUGCAUGAUGCUGAUUUUAAAGAUGCAAUGCAGAAUUGUAAAGAAGGAAGAAUGUGGAACAAGUUUGUCGUUAACGAUGGAUUUGUGUUUCGUGCUAACAAGCUAUGCAUUCCAGCUAGCUCCGUUCGUCUUUUGUUGUUGCAGGAGGCGCAUGGAGGAGGAUUAAUGGGACACUUUGGCGUGAAGAAGACGGAGGACGUACUUGCUACACAUUUCUUUUGGCCAAAGAUGAGACGGGAUGUUGAGCGUUUUAUUGCUCGAUGCACUACAUGUCAAAAAGCUAAGUCACGACUCAAUCCUCAUGGUUUAUAUAUGCCUUUGCCUGUACCUAGUGUUCCUUGGGAGGAUAUAUCUAUGGACUUUGUUCUAGGUUUACCUCGAACAAAGAAGGGGAGGGAUAGCAUAUUUGUUGUCGUGGAUAGAUUCUCGAAAAUGGCACACUUUAUACCAUGUCAUAAAAGCGAUGAUGCUGUUAAUGUUGCUGAUUUGUUCUUUCGUGAAAUUAUUCGCUUGCAUGGUGUGCCAAAUACUAUUGUUUCAGAUCGUGAUACUAAAUUUCUUAGCCACUUUUGGAGAUGUUUAUGGGCUAAGUUGGGGACUAAACUGCUUUUUAGUACUACUUGUCACCCCCAAACUGAUGGACAAACUGAAGUAGUCAAUAGAACGUUGUCUACUAUGCUUAGGGCUGUUUUGAAGAAUAAUAAGAAAAUGUGGGAGGAAUGCUUGCCUCAUAUUGAAUUUGCUUAUAAUCGUUCAUUGCAUUCUACUACUAAGAUGUGCCCUUUUGAAGUUGUGUAUGGUUUCCUACCUCGUGCACCUAUUGAUUUGUUGCCUCUUCCAUCUUCGGAGAAGGUUAAUUUUGAUGCUAAACAACGUGCUGAAUUGAUUUUAAAAAUGCACGAGUUAACUAAGGAAAACAUUGAGCGCAUGAAUGCUAAAUAUAAACUUGCUGGAGAUAAGGGUAGAAAACAUGUUGUGUUUGCACCUGGAGAUCUUGUUUGGUUACAUUUGCGUAAGGAUAGAUUUCCUGAUUUGCGCAAAUCAAAGUUAAUGCCACGUGCUGAUGGUCCCUUUAAGGUGUUAGAGAAAAUAAAUGAUAAUGCAUAUAAACUUGAGCUGCCUGCAAAUUUUGGGGUUAGUCCCACUUUUAACAUUGCAGAUUUGAAGCCUUAUUUGGGUGAGGAAGAU